rnacentral:rRNA from 1 species
GACGAACCGAGCGAACGUUGUUCGGAAUCACUGGGCUUAAAGGGCGCGUAGGCGGGUGCUCAAGUCCGGGGUGAAAUCCUCCAGCUCAACUGGAGAACUGCCUCGGAUACUGGGUGUCUCGAGUGUGGUAGGGGUAUGCGGAACUAUCGGUGGAGCGGUGAAAUGCGUUGAUAUCGAUAGGAACUCCGGUGGCGAAGGCGGCAUACUGGACCACUACUGACGCUGAUGCGCGAAAGCCAGGGGAGCAAAGCGGGG